AAUUCGAUUAGUUUGAUCCUGGCUCAGGACGAACGCUGGCGGCGUGCUUAACACAUGCAAGUCGAGCGGUAAGGCCCUUUUGGGGGUACACGAGCGGCGAACGGGUGAGUAACACGUGGGUGACCUGCCUUCAGCUCUGGGAUAAGCUUGGGAAACUGGGUCUAAUACCGGAUAUGACUGUCUGCCGCAUGGUGGGUGGUGGAAAGUUCUUGGGCUUUGGUCUGGGUUCGGCUGGGGAUGGGCCUGCGGCCUAUCAGCUUGUUGGUGGGGUGAUGGCCUACCAAGGCGACGACGGGUAGCCGGCCUGAGAGGGCGACCGGCCACACUAGGACUGAGACACGGCCCAGACUCCUACGGGAGGCAGCAGUGGGGAAUAUUGCGCAAUGGGCGGAAGCCUGACGCAGCGACGCCGCGUGGGGGAUGACGGCCUUCGGGUUGUAAACCUCUUUCGCCAUCGACGAAGGUUCUGUGGUUGUGAGGCUGCAGGGUUGACGGUAGGUGGAGAAGAAGCACCGGCCAACUACGUGCCAGCAGCCGCGGUAAUACGUAGGGUGCGAGCGUUGUCCGGAAUUAUUGGGCGUAAAGAGCUCGUAGGCGGUGUGUCGCGUCGGCCGUGAAAACCUGCAGCUUAACUGUGGGCGUGCGGUCGAUACGGGCAUCACUGGAGUUCGGCAGGGGAGACUGGAAUUCCUGGUGUAGCGGUGAAAUG
rnacentral:rRNA from 1 species